GCGGGACUUGGUUGUUGAGUGUCUGGAACUAAAAUCUGACACUUGACUUCCCGAACACCGGUCAAACUAUACAAACACCUGCUUCCUUUUCCCGAACAGCUAGGAGAGCGCUGUUUAGUAGUUUGGUUCCCACGAACCAGGGGAACAAUCGCUACUAUGAGCCAGGGGCUUCCGUUCGUGCAUUAGUUCGGUUUUGUGAUUUUUUCGAAAUAGACCGACCGCACAACCUAAACUCAUGGAACUGUUUCUGGGCAGGAGCCUCGUGUGCGGUCAGUCCAAAUGGGAC